CAGGGUGUAGCUCAGCUUGGUAGAGCACCUGCUUUGGGAGCAGGAUGUCGCAGGUUCGAAUCCUGUCACCCUGA
rnacentral:tRNA from 2 species